rnacentral:rRNA from 1 species
UACCAGCCCCGCGAGUGGACGGGACGGUUAUUGGGCCUAAAGCGCCCGUAGCCGGCCUAGCAAGUCUCCGCGGAAAUCCCCGGGCUCAACCCGGGGGCAAGCGGAGAUACUGCUAGGCUAGGGGGCGGGAGAGGCCGGGGGUACUCCCGGGGUAGGGGCGAAAUCCUAUAAUCCCGGGAGGACCACCAGUGGCGAAGGCGCCCGGCUGGAACGCGCCCGACGGUGAGGGGCGAAAGCCGGGGGAGCGAACCGG